UUUUGUUUAUGUGGUUUUGGUGUCCCCUAGUGGCGGGUGGUGGUAAAUAUAAUUGCAGGACGUUAGCAGCCCGUCCCCUUUUGCUGCCUGAUGUUCUGUGAGAAGGGGCAGGAGCUACGAUCAGACCACCACCAACCACUUUUAUGUUUUCUGUAACAGGUAUGGUUAUGUUUUUGRAAGGAAUGUUCAUUUGUAACAUCUUUGAGAGGUUAUGUUUGUUUUAUGUGUUUGUUUUAUUUUGAUGAAAAUUAUAUUGUCUUAAAAACUAUACGAUCACAUUGUUAAAAGUUGGCGGCCCAUCCCCUUUUGCUGCCUGACGUUCUGUGAGAAGGGGCAGGAGCUACGAUCAGACCACCACCAACCACUUUUAUGUUUUCUGUAACAGUUGGUGUGAAUAAAUGGUGUGAAGCCAA